GGACUACCGGGGUUUCUAAUCCUGUUCGCUCCCCUAGCUUUCGCGCCUGAGCGUCAGUUCUCAGCCAGGACACUGCCUUCGCCUUUGGUAUUCCUCCGGAUAUCUACGCAUUUCACCACUCCACCCGGAAUUCUGUGUCCCUCUCUGAGCCUCAAGUCUGGCAGUUUUCAGAGGCCUUGCUCGGUUAAGCCGAGCACUGUCACUCCAAACUUACCACACCGCCUGCGCGCCCUUUACGCCCAGUAACUCCGGACAACGCUCGCCCCCUACGUCUUACCGCGGCUGCUGGCAC
rnacentral:rRNA from 1 species